AGGACGAACGCUGGCGGCGUGCUUAACACAUGCAAGUCAAGGGGGCCCAGCAAUGGGCAACCGGCGAACGGGUGCGUAACACGUGAGCAACCUACCGAACUGUGGGGGAUAGCCGGCCUAACGGCCGGGUAAUACCGCAUACGCUCUCAGAGAGGCAUUUCUUUGAGAGGAAACCUACGGGACAGAUCGAGGGGCUCGCGGCCUAUCCGCUAGUUGGCGAGGUAACGGCUCACCAAGGCAACGACGGGUAGC
rnacentral:rRNA from 1 species